rnacentral:rRNA from 1 species
UACAGAGGGGGCAAGCGUUGUUCGGAAUUACUGGGCGUAAAGGGCGCGUAGGCGGCCUUCUAAGUCGAACGUGAAAUCCCCGGGCUCAACCCGGGAACUGCGUCCGAGACUGCAAGGCUAGAAUCUGGCAGAGGGGGGUAGAAUUCCACGUGUAGCAGUGAAAUGCGUAGAGAUGUGGAGGAACACCGAUGGCGAAGGCAGCCCCCUGGGUCAAGAUUGACGCUCAUGCACGAAAGCGUGGGGAGCAAACAGG